AUUGAACGCUGGCGGCAGGCCUAACACAUGCAAGUCGAGCGGAUGCUGCGAGCUUGCUCCUGGACUCAGCGGCGGACGGGUGGGAAAUGCCUAGGAAUUUGCAUGGUCGUGGGGGAUAACGUCCGGAAACGGGCGCUAAUCCUGGAUCCGACCUGAGGGCGCAAGUGGGUGGUCUUCGGACCUCUCGCUAUCAGAUGAGCGUAGGACGGAUUAGCUAGUUGGUGGGGUAAAGGCUUUCCAUGGAGGCGAACCGUAACUGGUCUGAGGGGAUGGUCAAACACACUGGAACUGAGACACGGUCGAGACUCCUACGGUAGGCAGCAGUGGGGAAUAUUGGGCGAUGGGCGAAAGCCUGAUCCAGCCAUGCCGCGUGUGUGAAGAAGGUCUUCUGAUGGGAAAGCACUGUAGGUUGUGGGGAAGUACAGCAAGUUAAUACCUUACUAUAAUGACGUUACCAACAGAAUAAGCACCGGCUAACUUCGUG
rnacentral:rRNA from 1 species